AAAAAGACACACAGUUUAACGUGGUUCAGCACACAAUGUAUGUGCCUACGUCCACGGCUACACUAGGAGAACUUUUUAUUACUUGCACAUAAAGGCUUACAAGGUGUCUCUAUAUAUAACACUAAUGAGACACAAGUUUUUACAAACCAAGCGAUGUGGGACUAAGACCACACAAGUUUUACAGACUAAGCGAUGUGGGACAAAGGAACUAAGACCACAAACUCUAACAC
rnacentral:lncRNA from 1 species